rfam:Salmo salar isolate Sally breed double haploid chromosome ssa09, whole genome shotgun sequence.
GCCUGUAGCUCAGUUGGUAGAGCAUGGUCUUUGCAACACCAGAGUUGUGGGUUCAAUUCCCACAGGGGGCA